rnacentral:lncRNA from 1 species
AUUAAUGGAAAUUAACUCAUGUACAACUGAGUCGAGGAAUCAAAUUUGUGGAAGUGUUACAAUUAUUGAAUUUGGGGAAGAUAAGGAGAGUGAGGGAAAAUAUCACAUACGGAACAAAAUGGGUACGGUAAAUUACCGAUGUCGUAUCUCGCUACUGUGCGUCCUGUUAUCCUUGCGUGCGCCUAUUGCACAGUCAUCUAACCUACACCCCUCUCCAAUUCGUUGAUGUCCUCUUCCUCUUCCUCAUCCUCUCCAAUCAUCCUCCUCCUAUCGAAAAUCACCACCCUCAUCCCCUUCCCAACCGAUCUCUCUUUGGCGUCGCCUCCUGCAUCUUUUUCCUCCAAUACUUUCCUCCUCCUCUACUUCGCUCCAGAUCUUCGAUCUCUGAAUUCAUGAAUCCGUUGCUUUGAUUAGUAUUAUGUAGGGACAAAUAUUGUUUUUCAGAUGAUUAGUUUGGAU